rnacentral:rRNA from 1 species
GUGGGGAAUAUUGGACAAUGGGCGAAAGCCUGAUCCAGCAAUGCCGCGUGAGUGAUGAAGGCCUUAGGGUUGUAAAGCUCUUUUACCUGGGAAGAUAAUGACUGUACCGGGAGAAUAAGCCCCGGCUAACUCCGUGCCAGCAGCCGCGGUAAUACGGAGGGGGCUAGCGUUGUUCGGAAUUACUUGGCGUAAAGCGCACGUAGGCGGUUUUGUAAGUUAGAGGUGAAAGCCUGGUGCUCAACCCAAGAAUUGCCUUUAAGACUGCAUCACUUGAACGUCGGAGAGGUGAGUGGAAUUCCGAGUGUAGAUGUGAAAUUUGUAAAUAUUCGGAAGAACACCAGUGGCGAAGGCGACUCACUGGACGACUGUUGAAGCUGAGGUGCGAAAGCGUGGGGAGCAAACAGGAUUAGAUACCCUAGUAGUCC